AAGACAAUACUUUCAGGGAUCAUUUCUAUACUUUGCCACUAGGGAAGUUUCUCUGAACACGUGGAGCACUGGAGGAGCAAGGAGGCACAGUGUUCUCUCCUGAUCCUGAAGCCAGCUCUUGGCAUUGCUGUGCUGCAAAUUGCUCCUCGCCAUUGGUGAUCCUCCGAGUGGUUUCUGUUAAAAACAAGCAAGCAAGCAAACAAACAAA